GACGAACGCUGGCGGGUGCUUACACAUGCAGUCGACGAAAUACCAAGCUUGCUGGUUUGAUUAGUGGCGACGGGUGAGUAAACGUGAGAACCUGCCCCUUACUUUCCUGGAUAACUGCUCGAAGGUAGCUAAUACGGGAUAUUCUGACUAGCCUGCUGGGUUGGUUUGGAAGGUUGUUUUUCUGUAGGGGAUGGCUCGCGGCUAUCAGCUUGUUGGUGGGGGAGGCCUACCAAGCUUGACGGUAGCGGCUGAGAGGGGGCGGCACCUGGGACUGAGAUACGGCCCAGACUCCUACGGGGGAGAGGGGGAUUUGACAUGGCGAACCUGAUGAGGACGCGGUGAGGGUGAGGGCUUGGGUUGAAACUCUUUGUCAGGAAAAGGACUCUUUUGGGGGGUGGGGGGACUUGGUAGAGGGCGGUAAUACGGCAGGGGGGGGUAUUCGUAGGGCGCAGGUUUGUCCGGAAUUUUUUGGGCGAAAAGAGCUCGUAGGCGCUUGGUCCCCGUCUGUGGGGAAAAACUUCCGGGUUCACCCGGGGGCUUUGCGGUGGGUCCGGGCCGGCUUAGAGGGGGGAGGGGGUAACUGGGAACUCCUGGGGUUUGCCGUGGAAAUGCCAAAAUUUCAGGGAAAAACCCCGAUGGCGAAGGCAGGUUUACGGGCCUUUCUGACCUGAAGGACGAAACCUUGGGCCGAACAGGUAUAGAUUCCCGGUAGUCAAGGCGAAUUCCACGGGGGAUUCAGCCUAUCCGUCCCGCCCCCCUUGGGAGAAAACCAAAAAACGAG
rnacentral:rRNA from 1 species